UUUCAGGAUAUUUUUGGAUUUGGAUUUUACGGGUGGAACGACUGGGGAUGUGAAAAUGUGGCCAGGUACAUCUGUGAGAGACCAACAUUGAAUUUGAACAAAACCGAUUUUUAGAAAUUGUAUCUUUUCAAUAAUUGUAAUAAAAGAUUUGGAUUUAACUCCGGUCAUGUAGA